GUUUCUUGGUCACGGUCUGUGCUGUUUCAUGUUUGGUGGGACAUGCCUCUGUCCAUCCUGAAAAAGUAUCCACUAACACUAGUAAAUACCUAUACCCGUAUUUUCCAGGUUUCACCUCAGUGAAGUCCACUUCCCAGUAGGCUCCUGGGCGGUCCCCUCGGAGCCCGGUGCCCGGGUUAGAUCCACGGGCGGAGGCAUUUGUUAACUGGCAUGCGUGGCAGCUUGCCACAAUCUGUUGGAUCUUUGCUGGAGUUUUUAAUAGGGAGCCCAACGUGGGGCUCGAUCCCGGGUCUCCAGGAUCAUGCCCUGGGCUGAAGGCGGCGCUGAACCGCUGAUCCACCGGGGCUGCACCAAAAAAGAAAAUUGAUUGGCUGUAACUUUAAGCCUAGUAAUUUGCUCAUCCUUAGUGGCUUUAAGUUUUUUUUUUUUUUUUUAAUUUAAAUAAUCUCUACACCCAACAUGGGGCUCAAACUCACUACCCCAGAUCUAGAGUCACAUGUUCCUCUGGCUGAGCCAGUCAGGUGCCCUGUCCUUAGCGUUCUGAUUUUCCAAGGAGCCGACACCGAUGCAAACACACGAGGGUUUAUUUACAAGCUCGAGCCUGGGUCCAAGUGUACCCGACACAGGGGAGCAGGGGCUUGGACCCCGAGACUAAGAGGCGUAGCAGCUUUAUAGGGGCCAGUGGCCAAUGGGAUACGCAGAAAGUUGCACAGUCAAGCCGGUCCGGACACUCGCAGGUGGCCGAUUGAAUUACAUUUUACCCUAAAGUGUCCGUUUGAACUGGCCUAUCACUGAGCCCAUUUCUGAUUAGGGUGUGCCCUGGGCUUGACUAGGGCGGGGCAGUGCCCUAAGCAGGUCGGCACGAGGCGGCUGCAGCACAAAAGGGAGUCAGUCCUGCUCUGCUUGUCCAGGGGUAGGGGAUUUUGUUAAAUUUCCUGGGUCCCACAAUUUUCGGGCCUAGGUUCCUGUGUGCUUAGUGGGUCCCUAACGCAUUAGUCCCCUUAGCCCAAUGGCUUCCUGGUUGAACUUAACAGGGCCUUAAAAUUAGUCCCACGUCGGGCUCCCUGCAUGGAGCCUGCUUCUCCCUCUGCCUGUGUCUCUGCCUCUCUCUCUCUAUGAAUAAAUAAAAUCUUUUUAAAAAAAAAAAAGUCGGGGGAGGCAGAGGGUGUGAUAGGAGACUCCUGCUGGCUUGCUGGCUUGGAGGGGCGAGGAGACGACAAGCCAGGCAUGCUGACAGCCUCCAGGAGCCGAAAAAGGCGGCAGCUCUUCCGGAACCGCCAAGAAAACAACGCAGCCCUGCCCACACCUGAUGUCCGCCCAGCGAGGCCCAUCUCCCUUCUGACCGGAACCGUGAGAUGCGGCGAGGCCGCGCCGCCGCCGCCGCCGCCCCGCCCCGCCGGGAGAACCAGCGUCCGCCGGAAGCUCGCGGCCCGGGGAGGAGGGCCCUGGAGGAGCGGGCCUCUCCCGGGCCGCGUCGCAGGCCCCCGCCCGGCGCUCCACCACACGCCGGAAGCGCGCACUCGGCUCGGGGAUCCCCAGGUUCCCGCCAGUCGGCGGCCGCAAACCCGCGAGGCGGCGGGAGGGCCGGAGCGCCAGCACACAGGACCGAGCUCCGGCGUCAGGGCUGCUCUCCGCCCGGGGUGGGGGUGGGGGGGGUCGCCGGAACACGCCCACUCCGACGCCGGGAAGCUGUGAGCCCUCCCGCCGGCCGGGCUCCGAAACCCCUAUUGGCCCUGCCUGGCUCCGCCUCCGCCCCUAGGCCCCACCCACGGUGCCGCUACGGACGUUUGAGGACGGUGCACCGCGCCCCGCCGGAAGUACUUCCCUGGGGCGGAAGCUUCUGAGCACGAUAUAGCGGAAGUGCCUCUUCUUCCGGCCUCUUUGGGGUCUGCCGCGGAAACAAGAUGACGAAGGGGACGUCAUCGUUCGGAAAGCGUCGCAAUAAGACGCACACGUUGUGCCGCCGCUGUGGCUCUAAGGCCUACCACCUUCAGAAGUCCACCUGCGGCAAGUGUGGCUACCCUGCCAAGCGGAAGAGAAAGU